rnacentral:rRNA from 1 species
GAUGAACGCUGGCGGCGUGCCUAAUACAUGCAAGUCGAGCGAACAGACGAGGAGCUUGCUCCUCUGACGUUAGCGGCGGACGGGUGAGUAACACGUGGAUAACCUACCCAUAAGACUGGGAUAACUUCGGGAAACCGGAGCUAAUACCGGAUAAUAUAUUGAACCGCAUGGUUCAAUAGUGAAAGACGGUUUUGCUGUCACUUAUAGACGGAUCCGCGCCGCAUUAGCUAGUUGGUAAGGUAACGGCUUACCAAGGCAACGAUGCGUAGCCGACCUGAGAGGGUGAUCGGCCACACUGGAACUGAGACACGGUCCAGACUCCUACGGGAGGCAGCAGUAGGGAAUCUUCCGCAAUGGGCGAAAGCCUGACGGAGCAACGCCGCGUGAGCGAUGAAGGUCUUCGGAUCGUAAAACUCUGUUAUUAGGGAAGAACAAAUGUGUAAGUAACUAUGCACGUCUUGACGGUACCUAAUCAGAAAGCCACGGCUAACUACGUG